rnacentral:rRNA from 1 species
UACGUAGGGACCAAGCGUUGUUCGGAUUUACUGGGCGUAAAGCGUGCGCAGGCGGUUUUGUAAGUCUGUCGUGAAAGCCCCGGGCUCAACCUGGGAAUGGCGAUGGAGACUGCAAGGCUUGAAUCUGGCAGAGGGGGUAGAAUUCCACGUGUAGCAGUGAAAUGCGUAGAGAUGUGGAGGAACACCGAUGGCGAAGGCAGCCCCCUGGGUCAAGAUUGACGCUCAUGCACGAAAGCGUGGGGAGCAAACAGG